CAGCCGCCGCGGGAAUACGUAGGUCCCGAGCGUUGUCCGGAUUUAUUGGGCGUAAAGCGAGCGCAGGCGGUUAGAUAAGUCUGGAGUUAAAGGCUGUGGCUUAACCAUAGUACGCUUUGGAAACUGUUUAACUUGAGUGCAAGAGGGGAGAGUGGAAUUCCAUGUGUAGCGGUGAAAUGCGUAGAUAUAUGGAGGAACACCGGUGGCGAAAGCGGCUCUCUGGCUUGUAACUGACGCUGAGGCUCGAAAGCGUGGGGAGCAAACAGGAUUAGAUACCCGCGUAGUCCCUGUCUCUUAUACC
rnacentral:rRNA from 1 species